UUAACCUUUAGAUAAUCAGAACUCUGCCCUUGCCUUAGAAUUCCUAGCAAUUGAAUCUUUAACCUUCAAUAAUGGUGAAUUCUCCUCUGAGCUCUAGCCCGUCUUCUCUUUUUCUCAUUUUUUCUCUUUUCUCCUAAUUGUUACGUUCUCUGUGUUUCUAUCUCAUUAUUCUCUUUUCUAUUUUUACUAUAACUUCUAUUAUUUUAUGAACUUAUUACUAUUAUCACUAAUUUUUUAAUAAU
rnacentral:lncRNA from 1 species